GGGGUCGUUGGGGAAACUGGUCUCCCCGCUCGGUUGUAGCCCGAGUGCCGUACAGGCGCUGUAGGUUCGAAUCCUUCCGGCCCCG
rnacentral:tRNA from 1 species